rnacentral:lncRNA from 1 species
CCUACUUCUCGGUGCCCCUGAUAGUGCUAAUACAGUAAUACUGAAAAGGAACCAAUCAGAGUCUUUUACCCUCUUUGUUAACACUGUUUAACAGGAUUAAAAAAAAAAAAAAACAACAACUCUGUUCUCCCUGUUCUAUCUGUGUGUGAUGACAUGUGUUGGAGUUUGAAAUCACAUAAAACACUUUGAACAGUGUCAGCUGUGCUUCCAUGAAAGACUGUCCCCGGUAAUUAGCGCCAUGAGAGAGAAACCUCACAGCUCGGUUGUCAUUGACGCCCCGAUCCUCUACCUCUGGCUGAUUAUCCCAUCUUACAUCAUCCACAGACCCUCACCCCUCCCACCCCCCAACCCCAAUCAUCCUUAAUAACAACUCGCUCCUCCUCAGCAUCUAUCUGCCUGAUCAGAGAAAGACUUUCCCCACAGUACCUUUGGAGGCGACAACAUUGCAGGCAGCAAAAUUAGAUUUGAGUCCCCUCAGGAGUUGAUAUUCAGUAAAUUCUAAGAGGCAGCAGGUUUAUACUGCAUCUAUAAAUCGGCCUGAGUGGAAGUGAGUGCACAACUGGAAAAGGUUAUCCACUUAACCAAUAACUACUGCCAAGAUGUGGAAAAGAGAGAAGAACUCCAGCCAAUCUUCCAACAGACCAUGUUUCUCCCUCGUUCACCAAUAUAUUCAACGUUUUAAUGAGGUGUCGGGAAACAAGACAGGUAAAAAAAAGAGCCUCAACCCAACUGCUUUUAGAUAUUUUACACAGCUAAUGAGACAGGGCCAUUCACAUGAAUGAUGGGAUAAAUAUUAAAUAGUACCCUGGGUGUUAUUGGCUAUUUGUCUGAGUGUGACACGUCCUGCUUUCAUGCUGGUGCUGGCAGUAGCACGACCUGUA